GGGGCUGUAGCUCAGUGUCUAGAGCCCCCACCCUGCAGGCAGAAGGUCCAAGGUUCAAUUCCUGGCAUCUCCA